rnacentral:rRNA from 1 species
UACCAGCACCCCGAGUGGUCGGGACGUUUAUUGGGCCUAAAGCAUCCGUAGCCGGUUCUACAAGUCUUCCGUUAAAUCCACCUGCUUAACAGAUGGGCUGCGGAAGAUACUAUGGAGCUAGGAGGCGGGAGAGGCAAGCGGUACUCGAUGGGUAGGGGUAAAAUCCGUUGAUCCAUUGAAGACCACCAGUGGCGAAGGCGGCUUGCCAGAACGCGCUCGACGGUGAGGGAUGAAAGCUGGGGGAACAAACCGG